rnacentral:lncRNA from 1 species
CCCAGACUGAACACUCGUGGUCUGUUUGAAUAGAAAUGAUUCACCCAGGAAUUUGGAAGCAAAGCAAAGAGGCUGAAGUGAGUUAUUCACAAAUUGUUCCUGAAGAGAUCUGCCAAAGAUAUCGCCUACAUUUCUUCAUCUAUCUCCAAGAUUGCAAAUGAGAAGCUGAAGAUCAAUCCAGCUGACUCUCAUGAGUAAUCUUUACCUUUUAAACCAGUUGCUGUGAUUCUUUUUUUUUUUUUUUUUCUGGACAAUGCAGGGAAAUGUUCAUUUCACAUGUGUAUGUUAAGGUCUGAAAAAGCUUUGGCCUAACUCAUCCCUUUGAUUGCAAAUAUGUCUCAGCCCUUUACUAGAGCUUGUAGACAGGACUACCCUAAGCCAAUAAGUAUCACAGAAGCCAUCUGAAAUCUGACAACAACUGAAGAUUGUGUAAAUUUUAAAAUAGGUAAAGUUUUCUCUUUAAGUGCUAUUGGGUGAGUUAAAUGCCUCAGUCUGUACGUAUGGAUGUGGGCAUGAUAAAUAGCUGUCGUGCAGGAAAACAGUGUGCAGUAUUGUAGCUGCUGAGGAAAAUUCCACAUAUGCUUUACUGUGUUGUGUUGGCAAGACUCUGAAUCAGCAUGAAGAAAGGGCACGUUGCUCACUGUGCUAGCACAUAUGAUUAAAGAAACAGCAAGACAAGUAGCAAUCUCUCACUAGAGAUUUAAAAAUCACUUAUUUAGAAAACUGAUGUUUCCAAAUCGCUGAGCAAGUUAAACAGCCCACAGGGAAAACUUGAUCUUAUUAUAAUCUGUAUUACCAACUACUCUGCUACUGUAGCUCAGAAUUUUCAGAUAUUCUGGAUACCUUCCAUAACCUGUGUCCCUAUCAAUCUUUAGAGGCUAGUUUUCUUUCUCUCUCUCUCUCUUUUUUUCCUUCUUAACUUAAAAUGCAAUUUUCAAAUAUUCCUACUGUUUGUCAUGUUAAUCCUUAAGGGUCAUACAAUAUAUAGAGUAUUAAAACACCCACUUUCUGUACUAAUUUCUUGUCACUUACAGAAUGAAAACAUGAGCUGAGCUACCUGUUUAUGCCAGUACUAACAACAGUGUGGUUGUUUCUGAGCAGAUGCAUGUGUUAUCAGAUAAAAGCAGAGGUAUUGAAUCAGUUAAGCAAUUUUCCCUGACUUCUGAAAUAUUACUGGCUUCCUAUGAUGAAAUCUCUGUAGCUCUUCUAAUCUACUUUGUCUGUCUGUUGUUUUGGUUUUAAUGGCUGCUCUGUUUUUCUGAUAUACUUGAUUACAGUAAUCUUUUAUAGUUGUUCUUUAGCCUCAUGGGUUACUGAAACGGAAUUAAUUAUUGCAAAGUGCUGUAACAGAACAGCAGUAAUGUUCUUUGAGCUGCAUAUAACACCAUAUCCCCAGAUGGUUGAGUUUUUUAAUAAACUCAUCUUCACCUCCUAUAUCAGUUAUCUCAACUGUUCAGAAACCAAGUUUCCACACGCAACUCUUGCACAAACAUGAACAUGACUUGUUCAGUCUAAGGAGCUGUGUUGAUAUACAUAAAAGAAAGGUGAAUAACAGUUGUGCAUAUAGGUAAUUUUAAUCCAUUCCAUUUUUAAAUACCACAAUAAAUUUAAUUUUCACAAUAAAUUAAAUAGCCAUAUUCAGUUUACAAAAUAGAAUUACUUAGUGUGAAACCAGUAUUUACAAACAUUGUACACUAUGUACAUGAUGUUUGUCUUUGCCGACACUCAAUCAUAGAAGAAAAAGUUAUUUGACUUUUUUUUGACACAUGAUUGACAUGCUACAAGUGACACUAUGGUCCAUACAAUAAAACAAUAGUGCAAACUCACCACAGGAACUCCGAACCAAUGCAGUUUUAUGAGAUAUUAAUUUCAAAUCAUAAGAAAAUAGUACUAUCCACUCUCAUUGUAAAAAUUCAGCAUGGUAUUUAAAGUGUCAGUAUUCCUUCAGCAAUACACAUACCAAAUAUAGUCUGAAUAUUAUGCUUUCUCACAGCUUCACAGACUUUUGACAUGAAUUUGUAUGACAUAAACUAACAUUCUGAUUAGAUCAAUAAGUAUGUCACAUAAACACUUCAAGCAAGAGGAACACUGACCCUUUUAAUGGUGUCUGACUUUAUUUCCUUUAGUACCUCUUUGUUCUUUGUUAGCAUAUCUUAAAAGAUGCAACUAUGCGGACGGUAAAUUAACGCUAGUUACUAUUCUGUAGAAAAAAUUGAUCCCACUGUAUAUUUGGUCACACACUGCAUAUGUACACGUAUGCAUGAAAAAUGUUACUUUGAUAACAUGUCUGUGAAAAGUGCAUAUUUUAGCAGAGACAUUACUGCAUGUCUCAGAUGCAUCUGAAAACGUUGUAUGAAGUUUAGGUCAGGGCCAGUUAAAUGUCCUCCCAGUGAUCUGGUAAAAUUUUUGAUUAAAAGGAUGAAAGAACUUGCGCAAUUUGGUAAUGACAGAGGUGUCCACCUCUGGAUGAAUGCGUCCCUUGCUACCUGCCAGGCACUUAUUAAAGACAAUGUUAAAUCGCAAGCAAUAAAACCCUCUGGUGGCAUUGAAGUAUAAAUUGUACUGACUUAUCCUUGGAGGAAGAUUUAGGAACUUCUCAACCAGCUGGAGUUCUGGCAGUGGUUCUGUGAUGAGCCGGUCUCCAUCUACAAUAUGAAACUGCUCAAUUGGGAAAUAUUUUAACCAUCUCUCCAGGUGUUUUGUGUAGAUGCUGGUUCUCACUGCCUUAUACUUAGUGUUCACUUCACAGGUAUUAGGAUCAAUAGCCAGCUUUUCAAAUUUGUAGUAAGUUUUGUUCUUUCUUUCCUUGCCUUCCAGCACCUGAGUGUAAUCAGAAAUAGCUCUUGUGGUGGGUUCCCUGACAAUGAUCAAUAAUUUGAUAGACGAGUUCAUUUUGUAAAUCCUUUCAGGUACUUCCUCAGUGAUAAAAUAUGCGGGGCUUUUCUCAAUUGUUAUUUGAUGAGGGUAAGAAAAAGGCAUUUUUUUCCGGUACCACUCAGUCCCCUUGGCAUAGUUCUCAUCGUUGUCAAAGAAAUGAAUCUCUUGAGAAGCUUUGACCACUGCAGGGUGAAGAUUCAGCAUCUCUAACAGUGCACGUGUGCCUCCUUUCCGCACCCCAAUGAUGAUGGCCUUGGGAAGCUGCUGAACCAGAUUGUGCAGUCGUAUUUGCUCCUUCGUGGCAUUGCCCUUACGGAACUCAUGGAGUAGCCCUCGCUUGAACUGCAGAGCUCGCAGCGGGAUUUCAUCCUGGCUGCGGGGUCCAAAUCGACCAUCGAUGGGGCAGAGGGGCUGCAGUCUGCAAUCAAUGGAAAAGAUAUUUGUAAACAGAGGGCAGCUCUUAAGGACAGAAUCAUUUAUUUCUUUUUGGCCCUUCCAUCCAUCACUGCCUGUUGGAGUCUCUAAUUUUACACUGAUGCAAGGACAAUGGACGGCUGGGACAAAGUAAAAAGCAUAAGUACUACUGAGUGAAAUGGGAUGAAAUAACAUUAGAACACAUUUCAAGGCCUGAAGAAAGAGAAGAUGGAAACUCUUUCACUACAGGGAACAAGUUCACAGAUUCACAUAAAUGUCUCUGCCUUCUAAGCAUAUCCUUUCCUCCUCGUAACUCAUACUGACUGAAACAGUGGAGCAGAAAAUGUCAGCAAAGAUGACAGAAAACAGUUGUGGUUGCAGAUAAACUUUAACAUGAAGAUUUCCUAUAAUCUUAUGCCACUGCUGUGACAAUAAUUUAAAAUUAUCUUUUCCUAUCUGCUAUUGUAGAAUUUUGACAUUUACAACUGCCUUUAAGCUGCCCUCAAUGCCAGUUCUCUGUAUAAUGAAGUGGUAAUAUAUGCUUUCUCUAAAAAGGCUGUUUUACUCUGAGAGACCAUCCACAGAAUCAACACUUAUAUGCAUAAAUUAGAUAAGAAAACACAUGCUCCUUUGGCAAAAGUUAGCACAUUAUCCGUGCUGAAGGAAAGCAUUUGUGAUUUGUAUCCCAAGCCCCUCAUGGUUGACUUGGGUGUUACACCUGGAUAUCUGAUCCCUACAGAGGAUGGUAAUGGCUGUUUGUUCAGCACACUACUAUUUAACUCUCGGCAUCUCAGUACUCAUCUACAUGUAGUUUUACUAUACCUAGAUAAACAGUGUGCCAAAUGACAGCAGUACAGAAGCCUGUUAAGAGCACUUUAUCUCCCUUAUUUCUCAGUCUGACCUUUUUUCUUUAUUAUUUUCAUUUUUUAGUCUUAAUGAAGGACAUCAAGCAAAGUGGUGAUAAGGAGAAAGAAACAACUCCAAAGCUGGCUAUUGCCUAUGCGCAGCCCUUUGCCAAACAGAUUUGCUGCCAGAUUGUCUGGGUAGUUAGGAAUCUCAGACGCUCUGAUGCCCUUGAGGUCUCAGACACAGCUGCUUAGGAAAACUGCUUUAUUGCAUCUGAACUGGUGAGGCAGGCGGUUGCAUUCUGCUGAAAGAUGACCAGGCUACCAUGUUCCAUGCUUAGCUACAGUGCUCCAGGAAAACUUCCAAGUGUAUAGAUCUUAAUAGGAUUUCAUUAGUUCAAAAUACAUGUGCCUGUCUCCUUGCCAGCUUCCUGACUAUAUUACCCUGCACUGCUCUUCAUGGAGUACAAGAUUAAUCUGAUAGGGUUAGCCCUUUUCUUCAAAUUAAUGGUGUUUCCCCAGCAACUCUCCUCUUUUUCUUCUGAAAUGAUGACCUUUCUUGUCUGCUUCAUUUCUCAGGAAUGUUGGAGCUGAUGACAAUGAGUUAGGAAACCUGUGGAAUUGGAUUGCUGACUGUGUAAGUUUAUAAUAGAUACUAAUUUGACACUCCUCAGAAGAGAAUACCAGCCUCAUCUCUUCCAGCUGGCAUUAUGGCAGCUGAAACCAAAAAUAGCCAUCAAAAGGAAAAAUGAGGUUUGAGGAGCAAAAGACAGUGAAAUGGAAGACAGAGGACUAAUGACUGCAAAAGUUGGGAAGGAAAUCAUAAAAGGAGGCCAAUAGCACUGUCACAAUAGCAGUAAACAGUUUUUUGUUGUUGUUGUCGCUGUUAUUAUUUAUUUAUUUAUUUUUAAUUCUGUCUGGGAAAGAGUAAAACAAGAUUAUGAGUCCUCAGAGAGAAAGUUAAGAAGGAAGAUAUCCAGAGCUAUCUUCUGACCUUCCUUUAGAGUACUACAUUUGUCACAAACAGUUUUGAUGCAUUGAAUGGGAUGUAAAAAAGGCAGAGUUGUAUUGUUUAGUAUGACUCAGGGUGGAAUAAAAUUACAACUUUUCAUACACUUGUAAUCUUAAAAAGCUCUUUACCACUACUUUGACAUGCUUGUGGUCUAUUACACUUCUUUUUUUCCCCCAUACUGGAAAAAUUUUCCUUUCCCAUAUAAUUUCGUAUUUGAAAUUAAACAUGUGAAAGACUCUGGAGAUUCUUUCAUUAACUGCAACCUGGUAGACAAUUUUAGUUAACUCUCAGCUAUUACAGUAGCAAAAUCCAGAUGGUCUCCUGCAGCUCCCCUCAGCAACAUUUUC